GGCCCCGUGGAGGCCGGUUUCGGUACCAACCUGGGUACUUCAACCGGGUUCUCACUUUGGGAAUGGGUGGCUGGGGCCAGAGAUCAGGACAGGUCUCCCUUCGGGCUCCGUUGCUCAGCGGGUUCCUGGAGGGACUGCGCUGAGCCAAAGUGAGGAGGGCACUGGAGGUGAUGAGCUUCACUUUACCCGAGUGCUGUGCACCUCUUCAGGAAAAGUGGGGGUUUCUGCGGUCCGUGCAGAGGGCUCAGAAUAGGGGUGUCACUGCAAGAGACCAGUAGUGAACUUGGCGUGCUCGGUGGGGUCCAGCCGCUUUCCUCUCUGUUCCAGGCUCCCACGAGCCCUCUUUCAAGAGGGGCCUGGCUGAUGAGGCGCGUAAAUAGUCUGUAGUAGUAAGGAACCAGGGAUGUAAUUCCGCUGCUUGGAGGGGCUGCAUCAUGGAACCUUUGUCAGGAGCCGGGCUGUUGAUGGGGAGGAAGUGGGUAAGUCCUGGCUUCUUGCAUUGUGAAGGGGCUCUCGCAGCCUAACCAAAGCCGGUGCCUCCACUAGUUCUCCUUCCCCAGGAUUCCCUGGUCCAAACCAGUACAUAUUUUCUUUAUUUUUUUAAAAUUGACUUUGAGAGAGAGGAAAAAAACCAUCAAUUUUGUUGUUGUUGUUCCACUUAGCUAAGCAUUCAUUGGUUGCUUUUUGCCUGUGCUCUGACCAGAGAUCAAACAAAAACGUUGAGGUAUGGGGAGGAGGCUUUAACUGAGGGAGCUACCCGCCUGAGCAGUACAUAUUUUCUUGAUGCAAGAGAGCCUGAAGCCUAGAAUUUUUGGCCUGAGAUGAAGGUGCCUACCCAGCUCAGCAUGAUUCUCUCUUAUCAGAUUAAAUGAUAAAAGCAAUGACACAAAAGAUGGUAUAGACAGAGCAGAAUCAGUAAGAUCUCAUGUGGAAAGUGGACUCCCAACUCUAUAAUCAAGGACUCAUCCAGAUAGCUCUCCCAAGACUACAGCGACUCUGUUAUGGCCUGUUGGGUCCUCUGGAAUUCCAUGAUAAGGCUUCUGGUGGAAGUAGGCAGCAGCUCUUUCAGCUAGAGAUGUUCUCUCCUCCUGGAUCAGGACUGGCUGCAUAGUACCUGAGGAUGUUCCUUGGCCGUAUGAUGAUGGUUGGAGAUCCUUCUCAACCUUGGAGAAAACUGACCGUUAGUGAGGAUUUGUAAGCGCCAAACUCGCACACGGUUUCCGAUACGACCGCUCCACAGUCCGCCCGAGACCUUGAGCGCUGCAGUGGGAAGCUCGACCCCCGCAGCCCUGCAGGCCCCUGAGCGCGCCUUCCUCCUCGGCUUUUCCUCCUGGCACCAGGUCACUGGCCCCGCGAGCAUCGCUAAGGCCCGGUCUGCGGGUUACACGCACGCCCUUCCAGGCCCAAUCGCAGCGCCUGGUGUAGGCGUUUGACUGCAAAUGUCCUAUCAACCGGCGCGACUGUGGGGACCAGCACCCAGCUCACGUGGGUGCCAGCGCCGAGAAGAGGAGCCCGCCCUGUGCCUGGUUUAGUAAGGUUAACUCGACGCAGCGAGGAAAGGACGUCACUGCUUUGGGACAGGAACCAGUUCAUUUUGCGGCCAGGACGCGCCCUCGGAGGCCUCGUGCGUCAGCGGACCAGGGGGAACCGAGGUGGAAUCGCGCAGAGGACGCUGACCAAGCCCGCUCCUUUCCCGGGAAACCCCUCCGAACGCCUGAGCCCGCGCCCCAGAGCCCGGCCCCCUGUCAAGCGUUGCCUAGCAACAGCGUCCUAGAGUCUGGCCCAAGGGGCCAAUCAGCGCAGAUAUAGUUUUUCAACGUCGGGAGUAAUCCAAUCACUGGGCGCGGUCAGAAGUCGCGUCCUCAAGCCAAUAGCCGCAGGCACCCAACGAGGGGUUAGGAAUUAUGGGAGCGGGAGCUAGAGUUGGGAGCGGACUCAGACUUGAUAAGAUCACCUAGAGGGAACUAACGACGAGCUUCGGCCUGCGUGAGAGUGACGGCCGUGAGGGCGGGUCGCCGCCAUAUCCUCUUAAGGCAUUUUCCGGUACCGUUGUUCCACUCCGAGCGUCAGAGCGACUCCGUUCUGGCCGCGGCGUGGCCCCACGCGGAACCGGAUCCGUGCCGCUCAGACGCCGGGCCCAGCGGAGCAGUGUCUCAGCCCGGAAGAGACCGUGGCCCUGGGGCUGUAACAUCUAGGACCUGGGAACUGAAAGAGUCCAAAGCGCCGCCCCUGCCCGCGCCCGCGCCCCAUCCGGAGCCCAGAGCCUGGACCUGAGUGGAGGAGGAAGGGGCUGGAAAGCUUCGCGGCCAAGGCCGAGUAUUUCUUCCAGGGGGCGCGUUGAAGCCUAUAGCACCGAGGGCCCUGUGCCGGGAAGUGAUGCCAGAGACCUACGGCCACCUGGGGGCGCUCGGUGAAGCCCUUUAUGGCCCCGCGCUGCCCAUUUUUCUCAUCCAUUUAUUCGUUUAUUCGCGACCUACUCAAACCAAUCUCAGGCCAGAGCUGCAGACGCGGAGGCUGCCCAGAGAGCACAAAAUGCUUAGAGGAGGGUAGGGAAAUGAGCUAAAAUGGCUGGUAUCAGGCUCAGGCUUGGGAAGGACUGUCCCAGAAGCGCUCCUGGAAGCCUUGAGGGGUGGGUUGGUUGGUUGGUUGGUUGGUUGGUUGGUUGUUCUUUGGUGUGUCUGUGUGUGUGAAUAACUUACCAUGACCAUCUUUCCAUGUUUACGACUACAACAUGGUUAUUUCAGCAGCUUUAUUGAGAUGUUAUUCACAGACUGUAUCACUCACCCAUUUUAAGUGCACAAUGCAAUAUUCUUUGUAUUUUCAGUUAUGAUACCACACCACAAUAGAUAUUAGCACAUUUCAUCACCCCAGAAAGAAACCCCUUAGCCAUCACGCCCUCAUUCUCCCCUCCUGCAGCCCUUGGAAACCACUAACCUACCUUCUGUCUAUAUAGAUUUGCCUAUUUGGGACAUUUCAUAUAAAUGGACUCAAAAGACAUGCGGUCUUUUGAAUCUGGCUCCGUUCACAUAACAUAAUGUUUUUAAAUGGUGUACCAGGAAUCAUUAUUUAAAAUUUUUUUAAAAUAGAUUUUAUUUUUGAGAGUAUUUUAGGGUUCGCAGUACAAAUGAGCUGAAAGUACAGCGUUCUCUCUGCCUUCAAACAUACACAGCCUCCUCCAUUAUCAACAUCCCAUACCAGAGGGGUACAUUUGUUACAAUCUAUGAACCAACACUGAAAAAAUAUUAUCACCCCAAAUCCAUAGUGCUCAUAAGGGUUCACUUUUGGUGGUGUACAGUCCAUGAGUUUUGACAAAUGUCUAAAGACAUGUAUACAUCAUCACAGUAUCCAUCGUUAUAUACAAUCAUUUCACCACCCUAAAAAUCCCCUGUGCUCCACCAUUUAUCACUCCUCCUCCCCAUCCUCUUAUAACCACUGAUCUUUUCACUGU